rnacentral:rRNA from 1 species
AGCAGCCGCGGUAAUUCCAGCUCCAAUAGCGUAUAUUAAAGUUGUUGCAGUUAAAAGCUCGUAGUUGAAUUUCGGGGUUAGUAGGUUGGUCAUGCCACUGGUAUGUACUGAUCUUACUGAUUCCUCCUUCCUGAUGAACCGUAAUGCCAUUAAUUUGGUGUUGCGGGGAGACUGGACUGUUACUUUGAAAAAUUGAGUGUUUAAAGCAGGCUAACGCUUGAAUACAUUAGCAUGGAAUAAUGAAAUAGGACGUUCGAUCCUAUUUUGUUGGUUUCUAGGAUUGACGUAAUGAUUAAUAGGGAUAGUUGGGGGCAUUAGUAUUCAAUUGUCAGAGGUGAAAUUCUUGGAUUUAUUGAAGACUAACUACUGCGAAAGCAUUUGCCAAGGAUGUUCUCAUUAAUCAAGAACGAAAGUUAGGGGAUCGAAGACGAUCAGAUACCGUCGUAGUCU